GACAGAGGGUGCAAACGUUGUUCGGAAUUACUGGGCGUAGAGCGCGUGUAGGCGGCUGCGUGUGUCGGGCGUGAAAUCCCAUGGCUCAACCAUGGAAGUGCACCCGAAACUGCGUAGCUAGAGUCCUGGAGAGGAAGGUGGAAUGCUUGGUGUAGAGGUGAAAUUCGUAGAUAUCAAGCGGAACACCGGUGGCGAAGGCGGCCUUCUGGACAGUGACUGACGCUGAGACGCGAAAGCGUGGGGAGCAAACAGG
rnacentral:rRNA from 1 species